CUAUGUCCUAUCAGGUAGUUGGUGAGGUAACGGCUCACCAAGCCAAUGACGGGUAUCUGGUUUGAGAGGAUGAUCAGACACACUGGAACUGAGACACGGUCCAGACUCCUACGGGAGGCAGCAGUGAGGAAUAUUGCACAAUGGAGGAAACUCUGAUGCAGCAACGCCGCGUGGAGGAUGACGCAUUUCGGUGUGUAAACUCCUUUUAAGAGGGAAGAUUAUGACGGUACCUCUUGAAUAAGCACCGGCUAACUCCGUGCCAGCAGCCGCGGUAAUACGGAGGGUGCAAGCGUUACUCGGAAUCACUGGGCGUAAAGGGUGCGUAGGCUGACUUUUAAGUCAGGCGUGAAAUCCAAUGGCUUAACCAUUGAACUGCGCUUGAAACUGGGAGUCUAGAGUUCAGAAGGGGCAGAUGGAAUUAGUGGUGUAGGGGUAAAAUCCGUAGAUAUCACUAGGAAUAUCAAAAGUGAAGGCGAUCUGCUGGGAUGAUACUGACGCUGAGGCACGAAAGCGUGGGGAGCAAACAGGAUUAGAUACCCUGGUAGUCCACGCCCUAAACGAUGAAUGCUAGUCGUCGGGGAGCUCGUCUCUUCGGUGAUGCACUUAACAGAUUAAGCAUUCCGCCUGGGGAGUACGGUCGCAAGAUUAAAACUCAAAGGAAUAGACGGGGACCCGCACAAGUGGUGGAGCAUGUGGUUUAAUUCGAAGAUACACGAAGAACCUUACCUGGCCUUGACAUGGUAGGAACCCUGUAGAGAUACGGGGGUGCUGGCUUGCUAGAGCCUACACACAGGUGCUGCACGGCUGUCGUCAGCUCGUGUCGUGAGAUGUUGGGUUAAGUCCCGCAACGAGCGCAACCCUCGUCCUUAGUUGCUAACGGUUCGGCCGAGCACUCUAAGGAGACUGCCUUCGCAAGGAGGAGGAAGGUGAGGACGACGUCAAGUCAUCAUGGCCCUUACGGCCAGGGCUACACACGUGCUACAAUGGGGCGUACAGAGAGCUGCGAUACCGCGAGGUGGAGCCAAUCUCUUAAAGCGUCUCUCAGUUCGGAUUGUUCUCUGCAACUCGAGAACAUGAAGCUGGAAUCACUAGUAAUCGCAGAUCAGCUAUGCUGCGGUGAAUACGUUCCCGGGUCUUGUACUCACCGCCCGUCACACCAUGGGAGUUGAUUUCACCCGAAAUCGGGAUGCCA
rnacentral:rRNA from 1 species